rnacentral:rRNA from 1 species
AUUGAACGCUGGCGGCAGGCCUAACACAUGCAAGUCGAACGGAGUGGCGGACGGGUGAGUAAUGUAUGGGAAACUGCCUAGUGGAGGGGGAUAACUACUGGAAACGGGCGCUCAUACCGCAUACUAUCAGAUGAGCCUAGGUCGGAUUAGCUAGUUGGUGGGGUAAAGGCCUACCAAGGCGACGAUCCGAAACUGGUCUGAGAGGAUGAGCAGCAAAACUGGAACUGAGACACGGCCCAGACGCCUACGGGAGGCAGCAGUGGGGAAUAUUGGAUAAUGGGCGAAAGCCUGAUCCAGCCAUGCCGCGUGUGUGAAGAAGGUCUUCGGAUUGUAAAGCACUUUUAGUUGGGAGGCGUUACCAACAGAAUAAGCACCGGCUAACUACGUGCCAGCAGCCGCGGUAAUAC